UACGAAGGGGGCGAGCGUUGUUCGGAAUUACUGGGCGUAAAGGGCGCGUAGGCGGCCGAUCAAGUCAGAUGUGAAAGUCCUGGGCUUAACCUGGGGGACUGCAUUUGAUACUGAUUGGCUUGAAUUCGGGAGAGGAUAGCGGAAUUCCCCAGUGUAGAGGUGAAAUUCGUAGAUAUUGGGAAGAACACCGGUGGCGAAGGCGGCUAUCUGGACGACAUUGACGCUGAUGCGCGAAAGCGUGGGGGAGCAAACAGG
rnacentral:rRNA from 1 species